GCAGCCAAGUUUGGGAACCAUGACCUGGUGAUGUACUGAAGGGGGUUACAGCCUGCAGCCAACUGAAUCAACUUCAUAGAGCUCAGAUCUUCUUGUCUUGUCGAGACAUGAGGCCCCAAGCCCUGGGGUUCCUGACACACUUCUGAUUAAGGACACGGUUCUGAUUCCCACUCUGCGAGCAGCCCUGAUUCCUGCUGCUCAGCCAUCCCGGGUAGCAGGAGGCCAGAAUGAAGGUCACACUUGUAGAGCGCCUGGUCUACAGCCUCUCUCCAGAACACCUCCAGUGUGCCACAGACUGAAAUCAGAGGAAAACAGCAGGAAACAAUAAAAAGGGAAGGGGAGAGCUGAUGCUGCCCCGCCUGAUAGGAGAGGCAGGGCCCCCAUCUUGCAUGUCCCUCCUGCUCAUAGCUGACAGUGUGCCUGCAUCACAGAGCACCGUGAAUAUUUCUGUAUGGUGACGUAGCUGGUACACGCAAACACAGGCGACAAAUGCCAGUCUAUCGUGUAAACUUCUGGAAAGACAAUGUCUGUCUGUGGCUUUCUAAAUGCUCAACAACUGAACUCAACAAAAAAUACUGAGUUGGCCUAAAAUGCCCAAAGUACCAUAUUCUAAGCACAUCAUGUCAAAAAUCUACUGGGGAUAAAACAGUGAAUUAGAUACUGACAGAGUUCUUGAUCUUCUGGAGUUUACUGCCUUUCAGAGAUGACAGUAAACAAGAAAUGGCAGAGGUGAGAGCUUGAAAAGAAAGCUACCGUUCUAAGAGCAGGCUUCUCCCUCUUUGGACUGUUGAUGCCCUGCUGACUUGAACCAGAUUAUAAAUCUUGGGGAGAUGGAAUUGGCCCCAAAUGGGCUACUUGUUGUGUUCACCUGAGCUGACCCAUAGAGCCACUUAAAACCAGAGGUUAAAUGUUUCAGCAUCUUGCUGAAAUCUUUCAGCUCAUGCUGUUUAAAUUAAAUGAAUUUUCAGUUCCCCUU
ensembl:lncRNA